rnacentral:hammerhead_ribozyme from 1 species
AUUCAACUUACGAGUUCCAAAUAGGACAAAACGCGCAUCCUGAAU